AAGCGGAGGAAAAGAAACUAACAAGGAUUCCCCUAGUAACGGCGAGUGAAGAGGGAAGAGCCCAAGAUUGAAAGCUGGCGUCUUCGGCGUCCGCAUUGUAAUCUCAAGAAGUGUUUUCCGCUUCGGACCAUGCCUAAGUCCCUUGGAAAAGGGCAUCAUAGAGGGUGAUAAUCCCGUACAUGGCAUGGAGCGCCCGAAGCUUUGUGAUACGCUUUCUAAGAGUCGAGUUGUUUGGGAAUGCAGCUCAAAAUGGGUGGUAAAUGCCAUCUAAGGCUAAAUAUUGGGGAGAGACCGAUAGCGAACAAGUACAGUGAUGGAAAGAUGAAAAGAACUUUGAAAAGAGAGUUAAACAGUACGUGAAAUUGCCAAAAGGGAAGGGUAGGAGGUCAGAGAUGCGGCCUGGGAUUCAGCCUUGCUUUUUGCUUGGUGUUUUUCCCAGGUGGCAGGCCAACGUCGGUUUUGGGCACUGGAGAAGGGUGGGAGGAAUGUGGCACCUCUCGGGGUGUGUUAUAGCCUCCUACUGGAUACAGCGACCGGGACCGAGGACAGCAGCGUACUCGCAAGAGCGGGCCUUCGGGCACCU
rnacentral:rRNA from 1 species